AACUAGGUUAUGUUAAACAAGUAAGUGUAUGGCGUGUAACUACGAGAAAUAUCUGGUAUUUGUACAGUGUGUGGCGAUUUAAAUUCGGUAUUAAAAUCAUAACAGAUUAUUUUUUUAAAUCAGUGGAUUGUAAAUAUUGUUCAAGGUUUCUAAAUUUGGGACAUAUAUAAUGUAAUAAUAUUGAGUCUAAAGUAUGUCUAAAAUGAGUCGACCAAAAAGAGGAUAUAACUAUUUUGAGAAUACUUCAUUAGAUCGAGCUGCAGAAGCUGUGCGGGAUGGGAUAUUUAGCGACAAGACGAACAAAGAUUUGGUGUUCCUAAAUCGUCAAUACAAAGGAAAGUAAAAAAUAAGUAACAAAAGCCAAAUAGCACCCAUUUAUGUCAGCCCCUAGCUUUUUUUAGCCCAUUAAAAACAAUUUGGGAAAGGGAGCUGACAGACAGACAAAAAAGAUUUUGUUUUAGUUGAAUUUAUUUAUGAUGCUUGAACAAAAAAAAACAAUAAAAAAAGACUUCAUAGGGAAAAUCAUACGUGAGGAAAACGACCACUCUUAUUUCAAAGUCAGUUUUAUGCGAAACCAUAUAGGGUUCAAAAAUGUCUUUGUUUUUCCUAUUAUAGAGGACAUUGACAACAAUGUUUCGGCAGAUCGCUUAAAACAACUUGUUAAGCCCACUUGCUAGUCCAGAGGAAAAUAUACUUUUAAUUUAUAGAAAAUAAUUUCAUUUGUAUUUAUAAUAUUUAUAUUUUCUUUUUUAUGUCAAGUUUUUAUAUAUUUGUAACAUUUUUUGUUAAUAAAGCCUUAAAAAACUAGUUUUCUAAGCUUAAAUAUUUGUUGUUUGAAUUGUAAAUAAAGUAACAGUUUA